CGUGUAGGCGGCUUUUUAAGUCUGGAGUGAAAGCCCCGCUUUUAAGGUGGGGAGUGCUUUGGAGACUGGAGAGCUUGAGUGCGGAAGAGGUAAGUGGAAUUCCCAGUGUAGCGGUGAAAUGCGUAGAGAUUGGGAGGAACACCGGUGGCGAAGGCGGGUCUCUGGGCCGUUACUGACGCUGAGGAGCGAAAGCGUGGGGAGCGAACA
rnacentral:rRNA from 1 species